CCAGACAUGUGAGCCGCUGGCUGGCCG
rnacentral:misc_RNA from 1 species